rnacentral:lncRNA from 1 species
CCCGGGAGUAACGAGCAAGCAGGCUUCAUUACUGGCAGCUCAGGGGAAGGGUCACUGGGAAUGGCUUUGCAGGGCCCUCAUUGAGCGAUCACUCCAUGCUGAGAGGAGCUGGCCGUGCUCUCGGACACCUGGUCAUUAACAUUGCUAAUUAGCAGCCAUUAAUCAGGGCGCUCGCUUUUUUUUGUUGUUGUUGCAUGUCACCGGCUCAGAGGAACCAAGUGAAUAAGAAGAUUGUUUCAUUACCUCCACAAGAGGUGGAAUGAAAGCAGUUCCCAUCAGCUCAAGAUGAGAUGGAUUAAGGGAAAGCAGCUUAUUUUAUUAGCAUCUGGUUUUAAAAAUGUGAACAGCCGACUGUGCCCAUGUUUGCUAGCAUGGCCUUUUCAGCUCCGUUAACUAGGAUUUCAACCAAUAGGGACCGCAAGAUUCAGAAUUAAAGCAGAAAAAAAAAAUCCCUAACUCACUCUAUUGUGUAUUACAGUUCAUAUGGUAUAGUUUCCAAGACCACCCACAGGUCUGAGGCUGCCUAAUGGAAGAUUGUAUCAGCUGCUGUACCUAAUGACGACUAGAUGAGUUAAGAAUGAAGCGUUAGCAUUCAUAGCACUUGUGGGCAUAAAACAGAUUAUUCACGUCAUUUCAAAGAUAACCUUUGUAGCAAAAUGCAUUAAUUUGUGUAACACAUUUGUAACUAAUCAAGCACAUUAUCUAUCGAAACUAGCCUAAAAAAUGUAAAUUUCUCAGAUAAAAAAAUAAAAUCUAUU